CCCUUAGAUGUUCUGGGCCACACGCGCGUUACACUGAUGAAGCCAGCGAGUAUAUCGCCUUCACCGGAAGGUGCGGGUAAUCUUGUGAAACUUCAUCGUGCUGGGGAUAGACCAUUGCAAUUAUUGGUCUUGAACGAGGAAUUCCUAGUAAGCAUGAGUCAUCAACUCGUGCUGAUUACGUCCCUGCCCUUUGUACACACCGCCCGUCGCUACUACCGAUUGAAUGGUUUAGUGAGAUCUCGGGAUUGGAGACGUUGCGCCGCAAGGCACAUCGUCCUCGAGAACUUGAUCAAACCUGAUCAUUUAGAGGAAGUAAAAGUCGUAACA
rnacentral:rRNA from 1 species